GGCUUUGCGCAGUGGCAGUAUCGUAGCCAAUGAGGUUUAUCCAAGGCGCGAUUAUUGCUAAUUGAAAACAGAUGAUAUUCACAUAUAGCAAGGUAAAAAUCAUCAAAUCCAUAUAUAGGCAUUUGGUAACUGUCUCUUCGUACAUGGACAAUAUCUUUGUAAGCCUGUUUUCAGU
rnacentral:snRNA from 1 species